UGGGGAAUAUUUCACAAUGGGCGCAAGCCUGAUGCAGCCAUGCCGCGUGUAUGAAGAAGGCCUUCGGGUUGUAAAGUACUUUCAGUCGGGAGGAAGGUGUCAAGGUUAAUAACCUUGGCAAUUGACGUUACCGACAGAAGAAGCACCGGCUAACUCCGUGCCAGCAGCCGCGGUAAUACGGAGGGUGCAAGCGUUAAUCGGAAUUACUGGGCGUAAAGCGCACGCAGGCGGUUGAUUGAGUCAGAUGUGAAAUCCCCGGGCUUAACCCGGGAAUUGCAUCUGAUACUGGUCAGCUAGGGUCUUGUAGAGGGGGGUAGAAUUCCAUGUGUAGCGGUGAAAUGCGUAGAGAUGUGGAGGAAUACCGGUGGCGAAGGCGGCCCCCUGGACAAAGACUGACGCUCAGGUGCGAAAGCGUGGGGAGCAAACAGG
rnacentral:rRNA from 1 species